AUUGGGCAAUGGACGAAAGUCUGACCCAGCCAUGCCGCGUGAAGGAUGAAGGUCCUCUGGAUUGUAAACUUCUUUUAUCUGGGGCGAAAAUCACCCUUUCUAGGGUGCUUGACAGUACCAGAGGAAUAAGCACCGGCUAACUCCGUGCCAGCAGCCGCGGUAAUACGGAGGGUGCAAGCGUUAUCCGGAUUUACUGGGUUUAAAGGGUGCGUAGGCGGGCAGGUAAGUCAGUGGUGUAAUCCCCGAGCUUAACUCGGGAACUGCCGUUGAUACUAUCUGUCUUGAAUAUCGUGGAGGUAAGCGGAAUAUGUCAUGUAGCGGUGAAAUGCUUAGAUAUGACAUAGAACACCAAUUGCGAAGGCAGCUUGCUACACGAUUAUUGACGCUGAGGCACGAAAGCGUGGGGAUCAAACAGGAUUAGAUACCCUGGUAGUCCACGCCCUAAACGAUGAUUACUCGACAUCAGCGAUACACUGUUGGUGUCUAAGCUAACGCAUUAAGUAAUCCACCUGGGAAGUACGAUCGCAAGAUUGAAACUCAAAUGAAUUGACGG
rnacentral:rRNA from 1 species